rnacentral:rRNA from 1 species
GUCUGUGGCCAUACCAUUCUGACCUUGGAAGCUAAGCAGGGUUGGGCCUGGUUAGUACUUGGAUGAGAGAAACUGGAAAGCAGAAAAUC